rnacentral:rRNA from 1 species
AUUGAACGCUGGCGGCAUGCCUUACACAUGCAAGUCGAACGGUAACAGGUCUUCGGAUGCUGACGAGUGGCGAACGGGUGAGUAAUACAUCGGAACGUGCCUAGUAGUGGGGGAUAACUACUCGAAAGAGUGGCUAAUACCGCAUGAGAUCUACGGAUGAAAGCAGGGGAUCGCAAGACCUUGUGCUACUCGAGCGGCCGAUGGCAGAUUAGGUAGUUGGUGGGAUAAAAGCUUACCAAGCCGACGAUCUGUAGCUGGUCUGAGAGGACGAUCAGCCACACUGGGACUGAGACACGGCCCAGACUCCUACGGGAGGCAGCAGAGGGGAAUUUUGGACAAUGGGCGAAAGCCUGAUCCAGCAAUGCCGCGUGCAGGAUGAAGGCCUUCGGGUUGUAAACUGCCUUUGUACGGAACGAAAAGCCCCGGGUUAAUACCCUGGGGUCAUGACGGUACCGUAAGAAUAAGCACCGGCUAACUACGUGCCAGCCGCCGCGGUAA